UCGAGCCCAGCAUGGAGCUGAUCAAAUCCGCUUUUUCUCCCCCUUAAACUUGUGUACUUACCUUUUAUCUAUUUUCAUUUUUUUUGUCUUCAAUGACGUCAUCACCGGAACACUAUAAAAGUCGGGCAAACGAAGCAGUCAGUCUUGCACCCCGUCUCUGACGGAGAGGCGUCUUCCUCCACCUGCAGCUCUGCACGCAUUUCCACCAGCUCAUCUAAAACUUCGAUUAUGUGAGUAUCCUCUUAGACACAAGCGUGCUAAGGUGCAAGCUAAAUUUUAGACGGCAAUGGACGCCUUAAUUUGCACCAAAAAGCAUUUAUUUGCCAUCUGGACGCCGGCGCUGUUAGCUCAAGGCCUGGAUCUGCAACAAAAAGACCAGAUUGACUACAAAAUGGCAGAAUUUCAGUUUUUAUAUGAAAUAUCAAAGUUACUAAAUCAAGUAAUGUUCUGUUUCUUUGUCUGCAGGCUCCAAAAUGGCUGACAAGCUGUCAUUGGCAUGGCUUCAUGAGGCAUUUGCAGGCCAGCAAGCUGUGGGUGGUUGGAGAAAAGUCCAGCGCUGGCUGUCCUGCUUUCAUCACUGGUGAUGCCAAAGGACCAGGUUCUUGCCGCAUGGAUCUUCCCCGGUGAAGAAAAAGCUCAUCUCCAAGUUCAGUUCCAGUAAGACUGUCUGGGACUUGGUCACCAUGAUCCUCCACCUGCUAGGCAAAGACAUUCUCCAAAAAGGUGUCCGCCCUGUCGAGUCUUUCAGGAGCUUGGCCUGCUGUUGGUCGUGUGAGAGUCCAGGUCCACAAAUUGGAAAGCCCUGCCACAGUUUGACUUUAGCCACAUGUGCUUCUACUCCGUUGGCUGGUGGAUCUACAAGGUGAAAUGCUACUUGCCGGAAGCUUCAAGUUUACUUCGCUUUGGACUGGUGUAUGUCUCGAGAGUCCUCUGCUGGUGAAGUCCCAAGAGUCUCUGCAACAACGCUUGAAGUUUUCUUGUUGCUUCCUCAUCCACAAGGUGCUGCAAGCCAAAUUCUGAGAUAGGAGUGGAAGAAAUAAAACAGACGGCAACAAGAAACAUGAACAGUUUCCUGUUAAUGCAGCCUUGAUCACUUGGUGCCAGAAAACUAGUCUUUCGCACUGGUCCACAUGCUGACUGGUCCAUACGCUGAUUGUCCACUGGCCAACCACCACACGGCAACGAGCAGACUUCCAUCCAACUUGUUUAUGACUGAAUGUUUACUCUGCAAAAGAAAUAAAGCUUUAUUUGAAAGAACA